GAUGAACGCUGGCGGCGUGCCUAAUACAUGCAAGUCGAGCGAACAGACGAGGAGCUUGCUCCUCUGACGUUAGCGGCGGACGGGUGAGUAACACGUGGAUAACCUACCUAUAAGACUGGGAUAACUUCGGGAAACCGGAGCUAAUACCGGAUAAUAUAUUGAACCGCAUGGUUCAAUAGUGAAAGACGGUUUUGCUGUCACUUAUAGAUGGAUCCGCGCCGCAUUAGCUAGUUGGUAAGGUAACGGCUUACCAAGGCAACGAUGCGUAGCCGACCUGAGAGGGUGGGCGGCCACAGUGAGAGGGAGACAGGGUAAAGACACAACGGGGGGGAAGAGGAGGGGAUUCUCCCGAAAGGGGGGAGGGCCGGAGGGAGCACCGGGGGGGGAGGGAGAAGGGUGUUGGGAUCAAAAAACUGUUUUAUUAGGGAAAAAAAAAUGUGAAAGUAACUAUGCACGUCUGGCGGGUACCUAACAAGAACGCCAGGGAAAACAACGGC
rnacentral:rRNA from 1 species